rnacentral:rRNA from 1 species
UACGGAGGAUGCGAGCGUUAUCCGGAUUUAUUGGGUUUAAAGGGUGCGUAGGCGGGCUUUUAAGUCAGCGGUAAAAAUUCGGGGCUCAACCCCGUCCGGCCGUUGAAGCUGGGGGUCUUGAGUGGGCGAGAAGAAGGCGGAAUGCGUGGUGUAGCGGUGAAAUGCAUAGAUAUCACGCAGAACCCCGAUUGCGAAGGCAGCCUUCCGGCGCCCUACUGACGCUGAGGCACGAAAGUGUGGGGAGCAAACAGG